rnacentral:rRNA from 1 species
UACGGAGGGUGCAAGCGUUAUCCGGAUUCACUGGGUUUAAAGGGAGCGUAGGUGGGCUGGUAAGUCAGUGGUGAAAUCUCCGGGCUUAACUCGGAAACUGCCGUUGAUACUAUCAGUCUUGAAUAUUGUGGAGGUAAGCGGAAUAUGUCAUGUAGCGGUGAAAUGCUUAGAUAUCGUCAAGAACACCUAUAGCGAAGGCAGCUUACUAGGCUGUAACUGACGCUGAGGCACGAAAAGUGUGGGGAUCAAACAGG